GGUCUCAUGGUGUAACGGUUAGCACUCUGGACUCUGAAUCCAGUAAUCCGAGUUCAAAUCUCGGUGAGACCU
rnacentral:tRNA from 2 species